GGACAGCCAAGGAGAGCUGGGCAGGGGAACGGGCAGCAGCCGCAGCCAAGCGCAUCCGGCAGCUAAAGCUUAAAGCUAGCUCCUUGUAAGCUGUGCAUGUAGUAAAUCAAAAUGUCGUAUGUCAGUAAAACAGAUAGUCAAGCACAUCUGGGAACUAACAAACUUUAAGGGUGUAGUAAAUCAAGGUGUUGAUGCACGUCUAUGGAUACGUUUUUAAUUUGGCAAAAUAUUUGAUGUCCAUGUGUCCUGUAGCUGAACUAGGUUCAUUAUAACACUUAAAAGUCACGGGUCACAAAGACCCCUAGGCAGGUGCAGACCCUCCCCUUCUGCAUGCAUAGAUGUUAGCUGGGGUUAUGUAGUUUGUAUAGAAAUUCCUAACUAAUCAUAGCAGAUGAACGAAGCCCCAAAAAAGGAAAAAGGCACACAAAAAACCCCAAAAUCCUAAAGUCCGAAAAGAAAAAGUAGCGCCUAAAAAUCUUUUUAAAAAAUCAAUCAAGGACCAGAAAAUUUAGGUAAUACAUUUAAUAAUACAGACAUUAGAAUACAUAUUUAUACAUAUAUUUAUUAAAAAUAUUUAAUAAUAUAGGUAUUAUAAUGCCAAGGAUACCAUCUCAGCUGAAAAAUACAACCCCUUCAUUUGUAAAAUGCCUUAAGAUACAAAACUAAACACUUAAGAAGGAUAUGUAAAGAAGUCGGAUUUUUAAAUAAAAUACUUAGCAGUAUACAUCAUUUUACAAGUUAAGAACAUUUUUGUCUCUUGCAAUUUUCCCUUCUUACUAACAUGCAGUCAUUACACUACUACACGCUGGGCUCGGAUUUAUCUGUGGAUGUUGGUAAAUCUGUCCUUUGUAAUUGAUUUUAAAGGCAAUCAUAUUUUCAAAAUCAAACAUGAAAAGAGAUGGCUAAGAAGGUUUUUUUUUUCUGGCUGAAAGUUUAAGGCUGCAAUUGUCUGGUGAUAAAAAACGUGAAUAAUUAAUAAAAUGGUUAUAGCUAUUUGUUUGAAAGAGCCAGUGAAGUGUGCUGUGUUCAUCUUCCACAUAACUCCACCACAGUAGCCAGAAUGUUCUGGAGGCGCAGCAUCAGCUCACAGCUAACACUGCAGCUUGCUUCUUGAGAUGAAUGUAUGAUCUCCAUUCCCUCUCCUUUGUGAAACCCUGAAUCUUCUUCAAAGCAUCAACUGUGGAAAGAUACUGAAGCAUUACAUACACUUCACUGAACCAAGUCCUGCUCCUCCUCCACUACACAUCUUUCCUAAGAAAUUCUAAAAGAUAAAAGAUCUGCUAUUGGAAUUUCUGUUCUGGAAUUUUAUUUCGUUUUCAAGUCAUACAGUUACCUGACAGCAUUAAAUUAUAUUGUGAAAUACCAGUUUUACUUCAUCUGAAGGGAGGUGGAAUUAAUCAUACCCAGAUAUAUACCCCAGAUGGCUUCCCCAGUGUGAUAUCUUGCUUCCCUCUGACCCUUUUGAGAUUGUAUGAAUAUGAUAAUUAUAGUUGUCCAUUAUUUGACUAGCUCUCUCAUUAUUUCUUUUUAGAAAAUAACAGGAGUCAAAUAGCAGAAAUAACUUUUUUCUUUUUUUUUUUUCUUGUUUGUAUUAGGGAGCUUCUUACUAAAACCUGCCUUUUUCUCAGCUCUUUAUUGGAAAAUGGUAAUUUUUCCAAACUAGAGACCACCUGUCAGUUUCAUGGUCUGCACAAGCAACUGUGAUCAGCUCCUUCAGUGAGCACCUGAUCUGCAGAGAGCCCAGAGCCGCCUUAUGGAGGUUCCCAAAACUGGCCACACAAGCUUUAACCUCCAGCAGAAAAGCUGAGGUAACCAUUUUGUCUCUUGAGUCCCUGUCCCCCAACCCUGAGAGGAAGGGUGAGCUAGACAGGACAAGAUUCACUACUAAACAGGCUUAUGCUUUAGGCAAGGCAUCACACAGAUAAAUAGAACAUGGAAGGGAAUAAAAAAUGCAGAUAAAACGUGACUGUACUGGGGCCUCGCUCGUCUUUGUGCUGCUCACGCCGAACUCAUAUCAAGUAUCAGCGUAACAUUUGGAGGAAGCAAAGUGUUCAGCCUUCAAAACCGAAGGAGAAAAUUUUGCCAGGACGGCUUUUGUUCUCGCGGCGUGGCCAUGGAGCUACAGCUGGAAGAUCCUUUCCCCUAGAGGGCAGUGCAACUUAAAGAAUUGAAACCUCACCCGGGCGGCGUUCGAAUGGAAAUCGGCUAUGAGAAGAUGUGUUUUUUAUCUCAACGAUGUUAACAGAAAAAUACUCUACAGGGGCAUAUUUUCUGGAAUGAAUCAGUGCAUACAAUACGAUUCUACAUUUCAUUUAUUUUAUGCCAUUUUUAAGUGAAAUCUACAAAAACCCACCUUUUUUUCCCUCCCUUGGUCCUCUAAAUGAAAAGAUCAUUCAUAAUACUGAAAUAAUGUCUGUGACAACAGAUUAUAAUAUCCAGGUUUCGAUCUUUAUUGUGAGAGAGAAGUGGAACACAAAAGAAUAGAAUUCUUAGUUCUGAUGGACUAUGCAAGGAUUUUUAAGAGAGAUACCAGAAAUUUAAUGGAAUUCAGAGGCCAUAUUAUUCAAGGACUGACCUAGUUAAAAAAUCUAGUAGAUUUAAAUAGAUAGGAUAAUAAUAGAAUAAUAGAAUAUAAUAAUAGAAUAAAUGUUUCUCUUUAUCUUCCUCUUACAAAUUUGUGUGUUUUAUCUUUUUUUCUUCUAGCAAUAUCUAUUUAUAUAGAUCAAAAUCAAACAAUGCAAUGGAUUUAAAUGGUAAAGCAUUAUCAUGUGUGCUUCUAAAAUGAUGUGUUAUCAUCCUGGAAAAUACAUUAAUGAGUAGAAAUUGAUUAACAACAUUCAUUUUUUUUUUUUGGUAAAUAUGUGUGGAUUUAAUCCUUCUUUAGAAAAGAGUGGAUAAUCUGAAACUGUUUUAUACAGCUGCUGUCGUGAAACAAAGAACAAAAUAUCAUCAGACUGUUCAAAUUGUUGACACUCCGUUUAUAGCAGCAGAAGAUUAGAUGCAGAUUGGGUCAAGAUUGUUAUUAACGCUCCUAUUAAGCCCCAUCACAGUCAUUGCAAGUGAGAGAGAAAAACUAAUUUCUUCUCUGUUAAUAUUAUUGUG